rnacentral:rRNA from 1 species
AUACCGUGAAACUGCGAAUGGCUCAUUAAAUCAGUUAUCGUUUAUUUGAUAGUACCUUACUACUUGGAUAACCGUGGUAAUUCUAGAGCUAAUACAUGCUGAAAACCCCAACUUCGGGAGGGGUGUAUUUAUUAGAUAAAAAACCAACGCCCUUCGGGGCUUCUUGGUGAUUCAUGAUAACUUUACGGAUCGCAUGGCCUUGCGCCGGCGACGGUUCAUUCAAAUUUCUGCCCUAUCAACUUUCGAUGGUAAGGUAUUGGCUUACCAUGGUUUCAACGGGUAACGGGGAAUUAGGGUUCGAUUCCGGAGAGGGAGCCUGAGAAACGGCUACCACAUCCAAGGAAGGCAGCAGGCGCGCAAAUUACCCAAUCCCGACACGGGGAGGUAGUGACAAUAAAUACUGAUACAGGGCUCUUUUGGGUCUUGUAAUUGGAAUGAGUACAAUUUAAACCUCUUAACGAGGAACAAUUGGAGGGCAAGUCUGGUGCCAGCAGCCGCGGUAAUUCCAGCUCCAAUAGCGUAUAUUAAAGUUGUUGCAGUUAAAAAGCUCGUAGUUGAAACUUGGGUCUGGCUGGCAGGUCCGCCUCACCGCGUGUACUUGUCCGGCCGGGCCUUCCUUCUGGAGAACCUCAUGCCCUUCACUGGGCGUGUUGGGGACCAGGACUUUUACUUUGAAAAAAUUAGAGUGUUCAAAGCAGGCCUUUGCUCGAAUACGUUAGCAUGGAAUAAUAGAAUAGACGUGCGGUCCUAUUUUGUUGGUUUCUAGGACCGCCGUAAUGAUUAAUAGGGACAGUCGGGGGCAUCAGUAUUCAAUUGUCAGAGGUGAAAUUCUUGGAUUUAUUGAAGACUAACUACUGCGAAAGCAUUUGCCAAGAUGUUUUCAUUAUCAGUGACGAAAGUUAGGGGAUCGAGACGAUCAGAUACGUCGUAGUCUUAACUAUGCGACUAGGAUCGGCGAUGUCUUUUUCUGACUCGCUCGCACUACGAGAAUCAG